AUUUCUUUUUCAUUAUCUUUUGGAUUACAACAUUAUAAUUAUAUAAUGAUAAUUAAGUCACACACCAUUUCUUUUUUACGGAGAACAUCUGAUAAAGACGUAACUGCGUAUUUUCAGCAAUUGCGAUGUUUCACACUCACGUGUUCAAUUCAAGAGAGACGUAAAAUAUCUAUACCCGAAAUACAACGCAAAAACGUAAGCUGGGAUGCAAAAGCAAACUGUGUCAAAUGUUCAUUUCAUUUACACCGGUCGAUGUAGGAGGGUGUGCUGAAAAGCUAUAUGUUCUUUAGUGUGCAUUCUGCAGUCCUGCAAAUUUUACUGGAUUUGUUUUAAAUCUCUGAUGUGAAUUAUAUUCGUAAAGGAAUAUAUCUUGAGCGCUUUGUGAGAGCAGUCACGUGAAGAUACAAGGAAGAUCAUAAAAUUGAUAAAGAUGUCUCCACACUGACCUUCAAGAGAAUAAAAAGCCAUUUUCCGAGCAUGCGGUUUGUGUGACUUACUCUUUAGGAUGAAAGGAGCAGCUUUCCAUAGUGUUCUGUAGAAAUACCUAGGUCUUUAAGAGGUAUAGGAGAAAAGUACAAUAUGUAAAGGAACGGAACCGGAAAUGAGAUACAAAAUUCGAGGCCUUGCAUUUCCUAUCUGAUAUUUUCUUGGUGAAACAGUAGUCUGUGAAGGUCGAAAUCAUACCUGAUGCGCGGUAUGACACUACAGAAACACAUUAGAUGUGGUUCAUAUGGGAGAUGACGUGACUGCACAUUUGAUACAGACAAGGAAGUAGGUUUAUCCAGAAAGUUUAGUAACCUCCCCAUCCCUGCAAACGAAGUUUGGAGCAUAUCAGAAUACCCAGUCCGCCCGUCUGUCUGUUGGCAUAUUUUGUCUGCGUUUCUUCUCUUUUGCCAUAAUGAUAUUAGAUGCAAAUAAUUUGAUGGUGAUAUGUGAUUGGAUAUAACUUGUAGUUCAAUAAUGUGGUGUGUGAUUGGAUAUAACUUGUAGUUCAAUAAUGUGAUGGUGAUAUGUGAUUGAAUAUAACAUGUAGUUCAAUAAUGUGAUGGUGAUAUGUGAUUGGAUAUAACUUGUUGUUCAAUAAUGUGAUGGUGAUAUGUGAUUGGAUAUAACUUGUAGUUCAAUAAUGUGAUGGUGAUAUGUGACUGGGUAUAACUUGUAGUUCAAUAAUGUGAUGGUGAUAUGUGAUUGGAUAUAACUUGUUGUUCAAUAAUUUGAUGGUGAUAUGUGAUUGGAUAUAACUUGUUGUUCAAUAAUUUGAUGGUGAUAUGUGAUUGGAUAUAACUAGGGCAUAACCAUUUGGAUAGGAUAGGGAGAUGAUGGGCAUGUAAAAAUAAUGUGAAGAAAAUUUAGAACUGUCUGUUCGCAGAAUGUAUUUUACCUUAUAUAGAAGACUUGCAUUAAAUUAAGAUAAAACAA